AUUGAACGCUGGCGGCAGGCCUAACACAUGCAAGUCGAACGGUAACAGGAAGCAGCUUGCUGCUUUGCUGACGAGUGGCGGACGGGUGAGUAAUGUCUGGGAAACUGCCCGAUGGAGGGGGAUAACUACUGGAAACGGUAGCUAAUACCGCAUAACGUCGCAAGACCAAAGAGGGGGACCUUAGGGCCGCUGGCCAUCGGAUGUGCCCAGAUGGGAUUAGCUAGUAGGUGGGGUAACGGCUCACCUAGGCGACGAUCCCUAGCUGGUCUGAGAGGAUGACCAGCCACACUGGAACUGAGACACGGUCCAGACUCCUACGGGAGGCAGCAGUGGGGAAUAUUGCACAAUGGGCGCAAGCCUGAUGCAGCCAUGCCGCGUGUAUGAAGAAGGCCUUCGGGUUGUAAAGUACUUUCAGCGGGGAAGAAGGGAGUAAAGUUAAUCCCUUUGCUCAUUGACGUUACCCGCAGAAGAAGCACCGGCUAACUCCGUG
rnacentral:rRNA from 1 species